UACGUAGGGUGCAAGCGUUGUCCGGAAUUAUUGGGCGUAAAGAGCUCGUAGGCGGUCUGUCGCGUCGGCUGUGAAAACCCGGAGCUCAACUCCGGGCCUGCAGUCGAUACGGGCAGACUGGAGUUCGGCAGGGGAGACUGGAAUUCCUGGUGUAGCGGUGAAAUGCGCAGAUAUCAGGAGGAACACCGGUGGCGAAGGCGGGUCUCUGGGCCGAUACUGACGCUGAGGAGCGAAAGCGUGGGGAGCGAAUGGG
rnacentral:rRNA from 1 species